CAAGCGUGGAAGAGCAUCGUGUGCAGAAAGGGGCCACACCAGGCUGCGAUAUUCAGCCCUGGGCCCGCCCUGCAUCUAAGAGUGUUCUGGGCUAGUCCUGAGGUCAAGUCAUGCGGCCUUAUUCACCUUCCAGGCCUCACCCCCACCAAAGGGCCUCCUGUCCCCCGUCUCCCCAAAGCGUGAGCUCUCCUGGAAUUCAGCCUGUCGCAGGUGAAGGGCAAAGGAGAUGUCUGAUGGCUUUCCUGGUCUCUGGGAAGGAUUGCAGUCAGCCCCUGGAUGCCUCCUGAAGUGGAAGACUGACCCCUCCACCAGGCAGUAGAUGUUAAAGAAUGAAAAUGGACCCCAUUCAAGGAAAGGCUGGGAGAGUGGUUCUGCGGGCUCCCCUGCACUGAGCCCUGAGGUGCACGCCUCUGCCUAUGAAUACUUCUUUGUUUACUGUG